rnacentral:rRNA from 1 species
GACGAACGCUGGCGGCGUGCCUAAUACAUGCAAGUAGAACGCACAGUUUAUACCGUAGCUUGCUACACCAUAGACUGUGAGUUGCGAACGGGUGAGUAACGCGUAGGUAACCUGCCUGGUAGCGGGGGAUAACUAUUGGAAACGAUAGCUAAUACCGCAUAAUAUUAAUUAUUGCAUGAUAAUUAAUUGAAAGGUGCAAUUGCACCACUACCAGAUGGACCUGCGUUGUAUUAGCUAGUAGGUAAGGUAACGGCUCACCUAGGCGACGAUAAAUAGCCGACCUGAGAGGGUGAUCGGCCACACUGGGACUGAGACACGGCCCAGACUCCUACGGGAGGCAGCAGUAGGGAAUCUUCGGCAAUGGACGAAAGUCUGACCGAGCAACGCCGCGUGAGUGAAGAAGGUUUUCGGAUCGUAAAGCUCUGUUGUAAGAGAAGAACGGGUGUGAGAGUGGAAAGUUCACGCUGUGACGGUAUCUUACCAGAAAGGGACGGCUAACUACGUG